rnacentral:hammerhead_ribozyme from 1 species
AUUCAGCUGACGAGUCCCAAGUAGGAUAAAAAGCGUGUCCUGAAU